AUGAUAAAACUAAAAAGUUCUGAGAUUACUAAAGAUAACAUUAAUCAGGCUAAGAAGAAACCCACAGACAAGGAGUCUUUGCCAGGUGAGAUAAUGGGCCAAGAAGAUUUAUCCUUUGAAGAUGCUUUAGAGAGUGCUUCCAAUGGGCAGAUCUCACUCACCCAGCCAGCAGAGUUUCUUUGGGUUUCUCCGGGAGAGAGAGUCUCUAUCACCUGCAGGGCUAGUCAGAGCCUCCUCUACACAGAUGGAAAGAACUACCUAUCCUGGUACCAGCAGAGACAAGGGCAAACCAUCAAGGCCCUCAUUUAUCAUGCUUCAGUCAGGAUUGAUGGAGUCCCUACCAGAUUCAUCGGCAGCGGAUCUGCAACAGAAUUCACCCUCACUAUCGAAGACCUUCAGCCUGAGGACUUUGCACGUUAUUACUGUCUUCAAACACUGAAGCGCCCAUCCACAGUGAUUGAGUCCUGA